GCAUCGAUGAAGAACGUAGCGAAAUGCGAUACUUGGUGUGAAUUGCAGAAUCCCGUGAACCAUCGAGUCUUUGAACGCAAGUUGCGCCCGAAGCCAUUAGGCCCGAGGGCACGUCUGCCUGGGCGUCACG
rnacentral:rRNA from 1 species